rnacentral:rRNA from 1 species
AUUGAACGCUGGUGGAAUGCUUUACACAUGCAAGUCGAACGGCAGCACGGACUUCGGUCUGGUGGCGAGUGGCGAACGGGUGAGUAAUGUAUCGGAACGUGCCCAGUCGUGGGGGAUAACGUAGUGAAAAUUACGCUAAUACCGCAUACGAUCUAUGGAUGAAAGCGGGGGAUCGCAAGACCUCGCGCGAUUGGAGCGGCCGAUAUCAGAUUAGGUAGUUGGUGGGGUAAAGGCCCACCAAGCCAACGAUCUGUAGCUGGUCUGAGAGGACGACCAGCAAAACGGGAACUGAGACACGGUCCAGACUCCUACGGGAGGCAGCAGUGGGGAAUUUUGGACAAUGGGCGAAAGCCUGAUCCAGCCAUUCCGCGUGCAGGAUGAAGGCCCUCGGGUUGUAAACUGCUUUUGUACAGAACGAAAAGGUUUCUACUAAUACUAGGAGCUCAUGACGGUACUGUAAGAAUAAGCACCGGCUAACUACGUGCCAGCAGCAGCCGCCG